rnacentral:rRNA from 1 species
GACGAACGCUGGCGGCGUGCUUAACACAUGCAAGUCGGACGGUUGGCACUGGAAGGUUCGCUGGAAGGUGCUGAUAGUGGCGGACGGGUGAGUAACGCGUGAGGACAUGUCUGCAGGAGGGGGAUAACGUUUGGAAACGGACGCUAAGACCCCGUAAGCCGGGAGGUGAAAGUGGCGAAAGCCAGCCUGUGGAGUGACUCGCGUCCUAUCAGCUAGUUGGCGGGGUGAAGGCCCACCAAGGCGAUGACGGGUAGCCGACCUGAGAGGGUGGCCGGGCACACUGGAACGGAGAUACGGGCCAGACUCCGACGGGAGGCAGCAGUGGGGAAUAUUGGGCAAUGGGCGGAAGCCUGACCCAGCGACGCCGCGUGGGGGAAGAAGUCUUUCGGGAUGUAAACCCUUGUUGUACGGGACGAAGGAAGUGACGGUAUCGUACGAGGAAGCCCCGGCAAACUACGUGCCAGCCGCCGCAGUAAAAC